rnacentral:ncRNA from 1 species
AUACUACCUGUGAUCAGGGAGAGUAGUGAAUGAAUUAAUCAAUAAAGAGAGUCGGCGCCGGUGAGAAUACGACAUGAUGUUCAUACAUGAAUGGGCCUGUGAGGUGCAGUCCGAAUCGUUAAGAGUAGGCACUGACGGAACUUCAACCGAUAUAAUGAAGCUCGCAUCGCAAAAUGCCGUGCGUUGAGGUGGGCUUAGUCCAAUUAGGGUGGUACCGCGGAAUUUAUCCUUUCGUCCCUUGC